GCGGAUGUAGUUUAACGGUAGAAUGAAAGCUUGUGGCGCUUUAGACGAGAGUUCGACUCUCUCCUUCCGCU
rnacentral:tRNA from 1 species